rnacentral:rRNA from 1 species
AAGUCGUAACAAGGUUUCCGUAGGUGAACCUGCGGAAGGAUCAUUAACAAGUCCUGCUGUGCGUGCGGAGCAAUCUGCAUGCGCACAUCCGUUCCAUGUGCCCCGCACAUGACAUUUCUGCGAAUCGUCUGAUUGUCGCUCUCCAAACCAUACAAACUUUUAACAAUGGAUCUCUAGGCUCUUGCAUCGAUGAAGAACGCAGUGAAGUGCGAAAAGUAAUGCGAUUUGCAUGCUCUGUGAGUCAUCGAAUCUUUGAACGCAUAUGGCACCUGCCAGCCCUGCUGGAAGGUAUGCCUGUUUGAGAAUCACACUAUCAUCCUGAUCCGAUUGCAUCCACGUGCAGUCGGUCGACAUGGGCCUUCAGCACUGAUCGCCUCGAAUUGCUCGCGAUCGUCGUGGUAGACAGGGGUGUGGCAGCGAUGCCAUCCAGUGUUGUCGACGAUCAACCCGUGCUCGUGAUCUCAAAUCAGGCAAGGCUACCCGCUGAACUUAA